rnacentral:lncRNA from 1 species
CCUCCCCAGCGCGUGUGUGUAAAGCAUGGAGAGUUGAGGGAGAGAUUUCAUGAACACACCCCCCUUGAAGACCGUGCGGUUUGGGGAAAUGUUGUUGCCACGUUAGCGAAAUUCAAACAGGGAGACACCAGUGACUAUAGAGUUGUUGAAACAUCAGCUGGCAGAUCCAGAUAUCAAGGAUGCCCAAAUCAUCAAUGGCUGCAGGAGUUCCGGAAUUGUGUGACACAACUCAGC